UACGUAGGGGGCAAGCGUUGUCCGGAUUUAUUGGGCGUAAAGAGCGUGUAGGCGGCCAUACAGGUCCGUUGUGAAGACUCGAGGCUUAACCUCGAGACGUCGAUGGAAACCGUAUGGCUAGAGUCCGGAAGAGGAGAGUGGAAUUCCUGGUGUAGCGGUGAAAUGCGCAGAUAUCAGGAAGAACACCCGUGGCGAAAGCGGCUCACUGGACCAUAACUGACGCUGAUGCACGAAAGCUAGGGGAGCAAACAGG
rnacentral:rRNA from 1 species